UCCAAAUCGAAAUGUAAUUUUGUAAAAUUUAGAUAAAAAGCAGUUUUUAAGUUGUAGCCAUUUUAAGGUUAAAUUUGUUAACAGAAUUUUAUAUUUUCCGGAUGUUUCCAUCCCUGUCCAACUUGAAAAAAAUAUUCCAAAAGCUGAGAAAACUCUCUACAAUUUGCUUUCUUGGACGUUGUUGAUCCGACCUUUGGUUGCUCAGAUAUGGACAAGUAAUCAAUGGACAACGUUUCCUACAAAUAAAAAAAUCGUCCAAGUCAUGGAAGCAAGCUAACAAUUGAUUGAAAUAGUUUGUUUUUGUUCAAUGAAAUUCUAAACUUUAUGAAUCAUCUUUCCGAUUUACGUUAUGAAAUGGCGAGUUGACAUAAAUGAUAUUUAAAACAGAUGUUGAUCAGAACAAAAAUCCUAAAUCAAACUUCAUUUGACCACCCCUGUUCCACCUCAACACGCGACUCACAACGCACCCAUACGACAACUCCGCCGCCACCGUCGACGACGACCCCCGCUCAUUCGAGUGAGUGUGUUCUCGCGCGUAGUAUUUACAUUUUUAUUUCACCCCGUUUUCCCCCUUUUGUAUACCUGUUCCAAAACAUCCCAACUAAGCUAGUAUUAUUGUUGUUGUUGUACCUACAUACCUUCCACUCUCGCUGGCUCUGAGCUGCGUGUCCACGGCAGCAGUCAGUCGUCGCGGCACGGCGAUUGUCGUCUGGUCACUUUUCUUCCGUCCGUUCGCUGGUCCACAGCCCAACACUCGAUAUAACUGAUGUGACCCGCUGAGCUCUACGUGCGUGUGUUUGUCGGUGUGCGUUUGUGUUUUCGUGAGUUUUGUGGACAUUCCUCGAAGAAAGUGUUCGAAAUGAUUUCGAUUCAGGUUUUUUUCCCCCUCGAAAGCUGCGUGUGACCCCGUGGGUGGUUGGCCAAAUCCAGUACCAUUCAAUACCACGACUUGUCAUCAAACGUCCAAGAAGCUCUCUUCCAGAACCUCGCAAUGACACUCUAAUCAAGGAGGUGUUAAUUGAAUUAGGAAUUACACACUCUUCAAAGCAAGAAAAAAAUCAAUCGGCAAGUCAAUGACUAGCUGUGCCGACCGUCGAGCAGUGUAAUUAAAUUAUUGAUGCUAGAAUGAAAUCACUUCAAACUUGGAAUUCGUCUAAUCCAGCCGACUUGUGUGGUUCCUUAGGGUGAUUAGUCGAACAAAAAACAACACCCCCACAACCCCAAUUGGGGCGCCAGCAGCCAACAGUGUUCAUCCCCCACGCCAGUAAUCAAAUUACGUGCAAUACUUGACCAACGCAAAAAAACAACCCUGCACUUUACAGUGUGUGGCUUAAAUGUAAUUUUAUGAUGCUUCUCGAAUGCGUUUAGGACUGACGUCAUCGCGGAUCGACAUUUAGUCGUCGCGGCGCACAAUUCUGACCAACACCUCGCUCAACGCACAAACACAUGAGGAAACGGGGAAUUUUUCAAAGUAGAAGCGGCAGGUUUUAAUCGUAUUCAUCAAUGACACCAAAGAGCAGCCCGCGUGAGGCAUUGAUUUGCGACAAGACAAAGGGAUUUAGAACGAUAUUUGAAACUUCUUGAACACCUCAAGAGACUGCAAUGACCAACAGUGUCCAAGUGCCACGAAGACUUUGUAGUAGAUAGGGCUGUCCAAGCUAUUCGGAAAAAGUGAACAAAUCGACUUUAAACCCCUACGAUGGUUACCGACUACGGUGGCAACGGAAAAGUUGCCAACGGUAGCAGCGGCAACAACCUGAUACACUCCAACUCGUUCUACAUGCAGAAACAGG